UUUUGGAGAAGACCGGGACUGUAUUUAUGAGGGGGUGGUGGGAGCUGACACAAACAAACAAGCAUUGAAAAACGCGCGGGCAGUUAAAGCAUAAGAUUAACAUGAGAGACGCAGAAGAAACUAAUUAAGGUAAAGAUCGAAGAAUGGAAGGGUCUUCAGCAUCAUCGCAUGAAGAAGAGAGAACAGCCACUUUCUAUGUGUACCAUCCUUGCUAUUUUCUUCAACAAGCAUUCAGGGCUCUCUUGAGGUGUCUAGGUAUUGAGUCUGAAGCCACAAUGUGUUCAAAGGCAGAAGAAGAGAAAAGCUCACUGUCACAAACUACUGCUGCAGAUGAUCUUAUUACAAACUCUCCAAGCUGCAACAUAUCCCACAAAAACUCCCAAGAUGCUGCAGAUCCACCAUCCACAACUAAUCAAACCAUUAUCAUUGCAAGUUCAAUGGCAAGGCGUGGAAAUCGAGGGUCUAGAAUUAGCCAUGGGUCAGGCCCUCAGCAUAAUUAAAUACAUACCAUGCAUGGGCCAUGGCUUUGGACUUGGUUGGAACUUAUAAAGUGUGGUACUCGAAGGUCAGGACUUACUCUAGGGCCCAGGUCUUUAGAGAAUAAAUGAAAAAUUUAUUACUGAAUUUCCUUUUAGUGUUAAUCUAGUUGUCAUAGCUUUGCUUUCUCUAGCUGUUUAUAACCUUUCUUUCCUAUUUUCCUUCUUCUUUGCCAUUUUCAGAUACAUUGUAUGCGUGUGGGAAUUAAAUAUUUAUGCAGAUUUAUAGAAGGCAUGACCUGUAAAUGCAUAUCAAUAUUUAAUUGCUAGCUUGUGCUUUACAAUUCAGCUUCAUACAGUGCAAGAGAUUUUACAUCGAAAUAUUAAGGCUUAAAUAAAUUUUUAUUCCAAUAAAUAUUUAA